UUAAGCCAUGCGAGUCGAACGAGUUUAGGCUCGUGGCGUACGGCUCAGUAACACGUGGAUAACCUACCCUUAGGACUGGGAUAACCCUGGGAAACUGGGGAUAAUACUAGAUAGGCAAUUUUUCCUGGAAUGGUUUUUUGUUUAAAUGUUUUUUCGCCUAAGGAUGGGUCUGCGGCCGAUUAGGUAGUUGGUUAGGUAACGGCUUACCAAGCCAUUGAUCGGUACGGGUUGUGAGAGCAAGAGCCCGGAGAUGGAACCUGAGACAAGGUUCCAGGCCCUACGGGGUGCAGCAGGCGCGAAACCUCCGCAAUGUGAGAAAUCGCGACGGGGGGAUCCCAAGUGCCAUUCUUAACGGGAUGGCUUUUCAUUAGUGUGAAGAGCUUUUGGAAUAAGGGCUGGGCAAGACCGGUGCCAGCAGCCGCGGUAA
rnacentral:rRNA from 1 species